CCUACGGGUGGCAGCAGUGAGGAAUAUUGGUCAAUGGACGGAAGUCUGAACCAGCCAUGCCGCGUGCAGGAAGACGGCUCUAUGAGUUGUAAACUGCUUUUGUACAAGGGUAAACCUGAAUACGUGUAUUCAACUGAGAGUACUGUACGAAUAAGGAUCGUCUAACUCCGUGCCAGCAGCCGCGGUAAUACGGAGGAUCCAAGCGUUAUCCGGAUUUAUUGGGUUUAAAGGGUGCGUAGGCGGAUUGAUAAGUUAGAUGUGAAAUGUCCGGGCUUAACUCGGGAACUGCCUCUAAUACUGUUGAUCUAGAGAGUAGAUGCGGUAGGCGGAAUGUAUGGUGUAGCGGUGAAAUGCUUAGAGAUCAUACAGAACACCGAUUGCGAAGGCAGUUUACCAAUCUAUAUCUGACGUUGAGGCACGAAAGCGUGGGGAGCAAACAGGAUUAGAUACCCUUGUAGUC
rnacentral:rRNA from 1 species